rnacentral:rRNA from 1 species
AUUGAACGCUGGCGGCAUGCUUUACACAUGCAAGUCGAACGGCAGCACGGGGGCAACCCUGGUGGCGAGUGGCGAACGGGUGAGUAAUGCAUCGGAACGUGCCCAGUAGUGGGGGAUAACACAUCGAAAGAUGUGCUAAUACCGCAUACGCACUACGGUGGAAAGCGGGGGACCGCAAGGCCUCGCGCUAUUGGAGCGGCCGAUGUCCGAUUAGCUAGUUGGUGGGGUAAUGGCCUACCAAGGCAACGAUCGGUAGCUGGUCUGAGAGGAUGAUCAGCCACACUGGGACUGAGACACGGCCCCAGACUCCUACGGGAGGCAGCAGUGGGGAAUUUUGGACAAUGGGCGCAAGCCUGAUCCAGCCAUGCCGCGUGAGUGAAGAAGGCCUCGGGUUGUAAAGCUCUUUCGGCCGGAACGAAAUCGUCCGGCUAAUACCCCGGAUGGAUGACGGUACCGGAAGAAGAAGCACCGGCUAACUACGUGCCAGCAGCCGCGGUAAUACGUAGGGUGCAGGCGUUAAUCGGAAUUACUGGGCGUAAAGCGUGCGCAGGCGGCUUCUCAAGUCAGAUGUGAAAUCCCCGGGCUCAACCUGGGAACUGCGUUUGAAACUGGAGGCUAGAGUGCGGCAGAGGGGGGUGGAAUUCCACGUGUAGCAGUGAAAAUGCGUAGAUAUGUGGAGGAACACCGAUGGCGAAGGCAGCCCCCUGGGCCUGCACUGACGCUCAUGCACGAAAGCGU